rnacentral:rRNA from 1 species
AUUGAACGCUGGCGGCAGGCCUAACACAUGCAAGUCGAACGAGUGGAGGAAGGGUGAGUAAUGUCUGGGAAACUGCCAGAGGGAGGGGGAUAACUACUGGAAAAGGUAGCUAAUACCGCAUACCAUCGGAUGUACCCAGAUGGGAUGAGCUAGGAGGUGGGGUAACGGCUCCCCUAGGCGACGAUCCCUAGCUGGUCUGGUAGGAUGACCAGCCACACUGGAACUUGGCCACGGUCCAGACGCCUACGUGAGGCAGCAGUGGGUAAUAUUGCACAAUGGGCUCAAGCCUGAUGCAGCCAUGCCGCGUGUAUGAAGAAGGCCUUCGGGUUGUAAAGUACUUUCAGCGGGGAGGCGUUACCCGCAGAAGAAGCACCGGCUAACUCCGUGCCAGCAGCCGCGGUAAUAC